GGGAGAGGAGGUUACACAUAGGAGGGGCAGCCCCAGCUCGCGCCUGGGGCUGCAGGUGCUGCGGGGGGCAAGGCAGGUGCCUGAGCCAUUGUGCCGAUGCGGGGGGGAGGGAGGGUCGCUCAUGUAACCUCACAUGCAGGAAGGGGUGAGUCCCAGACAGUGCAGUGCAGCAGGUUACUUUUUGAUUUAUACAGCCUGAGCUUGGGCCCGAUCAGGUCCCAAAGUACCUUAAACCCUUCUCCUGGAGGAAAGGUUCUCCCAUGCAAAGUUGGUUGCGGUAGCUCCUAUGGUGUCCAAGUUAUUAGCUCACAAACCUACAAACAUUCUCCUUUAGAUAUUGGAUUAUGGCUGCUGGAAGCUACUCUGUCCUCCCUCAAGGAUGAAUGGAGCUGUCCUAUACCACACUCUGAAGCACAUGUGCUUUUUUUUAAACCAUCUGUUGCCAAAACAAAGCAGGGAGGAAAGUAAUAAGGAAAUUUGACAUGGCCCCUGGAAGAGGAGGCUAUUGAACAUGGUGAGGAGGGAAUGUGGGCCUGUAUUCACUGGAGAAGGUGCCUGUUCAUGUGGUUGUCCUGGAAGUCUACCAUGCACAUCAUGACCAUCAAGACUCUCUCCUGUGUCUUCACUUUGCAUUCCCAGCAUGCUCUCCAGUCUUCACAUCUCCUGCAGCUGCGUAUUCCUUCACUCAACUGCUCCCUGUCAAGUGGGUGAAUUGGAUUGGCUCCUUUAUCCCUAGUACGUUUUCACCUUUGAAUUUGUGCUAGCCAGAAAGCUGGAGGAGCUGUGGGAGCGGGCAGCAUGUUGCUGCUGUACCCUAUACAACAAAAAGUGAAGGGCAAACUUUACAGGAGAUAAAUUAUGGAGCAUAAAACCUAAUCUCUUAGCAUAAAGGAAGGUCUGUCCAAAACCAGUAAGAAUGUGCUAUGUAUAAGGCCAUAAUAAUGCUGUAAGAGCCCACCAUGCCCAGGUAUACAACAGAGAUCUUAGGGGAGCAGCUGGACUGAGUUUGGUGGCAGGCAUUGUAAUGGACAGUCUGGGGCUCAGGUCUGUGGGGGAAGGGACUUGGGCAUGACAGCAAGGUAGGGCAGGGGCGCAUUUGCUGGGAGAGUGCAACUUUCCCUUCCCAUAGGCGCAUGUGGACAGAAGGAGGUUCAAGCACGAUGGCAGGGCAAGGGCUCACACAGACUGUUCCAGGAAGCUUCCACUGAUCCAUACUGAUGCCAUUCAGCUGAAAACACCACAUUGAGAUCAGUGAUCAACUUCACACCUCUCUGAACCUCCUAUUCAAUAGAUAGCCCUCCCAUCUCUCUUCUCUAUACUUCAGUUUUUCCAGCUGCACAAAAAUGGUAAUGUUUCCCGUAUUAGUAGUGAUGAAAAGCACUAUGAAAAAAACUAGGUACUAUUCUUAAUGUUACCUAGCCACAGUAGUGUCUGAAUUAUA